rnacentral:rRNA from 1 species
GACGAACGCUGGCGGCGUGCUUAACACAUGCAAGUCGGACGGAAAGGCCCUGCUUUUGUGGGGUGCUCGAGUGGCGAACGGGUGAGUAACACGUGAGUAACCUGCCCUUGACUUUGGGAUAACUUCAGGAAACUGGGGCUAAUACCGGAUAGGAGCUCCUGCUGCAUGGUGGGGGUUGGAAAGUUUCGGCGGUUGGGGAUGGACUCGCGGCUUAUCAGCUUGUUGGUGGGGUAGUGGCUUACCAAGGCUUUGACGGGUAGCCGGCCUGAGAGGGUGACCGGCCACAUUGGGACUGAGAUACGGCCCAGACUCCUACGGGAGGCAGCAGUGGGGAAUAUUGCACAAUGGGCGGAAGCCUGAUGCAGCAACGCCGCGUGCGGGAUGACGGCCUUCGGGUUGUAAACCGCUUUCGCCUGUGACAAAGCGUGAGUGACGGUAAUGGGUAAAGAAGCACCGGCUAACUACGUG